GGACAGGAUGUCAGCUGGGGGAGAGGUUCUAGCAAGGGCCGGUCACUAUGAAGAGGGACGUAGGAUCUGGCUGUCUCCUCGUUCCUGCCCCCCACCCCACCCCUGCAGGGCCAGAGGGGAGGUCCCUGAGCUGGGGGGGGCUCGUCCCGGAGGAGCAGCUUCCCUCCUCUUCCCAUCAGCCUCUGCUGCACAGCCCUCCCCUCCCUCUCUGUUGCCUUCCCCGACCUCAGUUUUCUCUUCUGUAAAAUGGAGAUAAGGAUACUGUGGUGGCCACCAGAGCAGGCACCAAGUAUAUGAGCCCAUGAACUUUCCUGGAGGUCCUGUACAAUGGCUUUUCUUAGCAGCCCUACUCAAUAGGAAGGAAACUGAGGCUCAGAGAAGUGGAUUGCUUUGCUCAAGUUCACACGGCCUACAAGUGGAAUUCAAACCCAGGCCUCUCUGUCUCUUAACCCUGCACAUUCUUUGCAGCAGGGCCUCAGAAUCAGCAAAGGGCAGUCUGCGUGUUGCCUGCUGUUCAGUAUGGGGACAGGCCCCAUAGUGGUGGUGGCGCUCUCUUCUGCUCCCUCCCCUGUCUCUCCAAAGACAGCCAGGUAGAGAGCAAUUUUGGGGCACAUAUGGGCUCCCAUAUUCCCCUAAGGUGGGGAAACUACUUUCUCACCUGAUCUGGGGUACUAUUUUCAUUUGCUUUGCAUUGGGAGAGAUUAGGAGAGAUGGUUGCUUUCAUGGCCCCAGUUCCUGGCUUGCCUGUAUGUACACUGGUGUUCUGGAACUUUGCAACUCUCGGCCAUGGACUUGCUUUGGACAAUGGGAUAGAAGAAAACUUUGUGCAAGCAGCAGGCUGGAAAAGUGUUCUCUUGGACCCUUGCCACUGCCAUGAGAGCAAUUUGGUGCUUGCAUCCUGCAAGACAGGUCAGCUGAAGCUUCUUAGACCACCGAGUGCCCAGCCACCUACCAAAGACACAUUAACCUGGUCACAUCAGCUCCGCCUGACCUACGUGAGCAGAACAACCAACCCUAGACUCACAGUUAUUUAAUAGCUAAUUAUUUGACUAGAAAUAAUAAACAGCUCUGUUUGCCACUAACUUCUGGGACCUAGGGCUUUCCCUCUUGGAUGCAUCUCUUCCUCUGCCAGUGCCAGCUCACAUCUGGGAUUUGGGACCUGGAGAGAUUCUACAUAUAAGGAAGAUAAUGGAGGACCUGUCUUUCUGUGUCGGGCUUAUUUUGCUUAGCAUGAUGUCUUCUAGCUCGUCUAUGUUGUAACAAGUGACAAGAUCUCCCUCUUUUUAAAGACUGAACAUGUUCCAUUCCACUGGUCAGCUUCCUGUGGCUGGGAACAAAACAAAACAAAACAAAAACCAGCCUGACACCUACAGUUCAAAGGAGACAGUUUUAUGAGUUUCAGUCCACAGUGGGCGGCUCCAAGGCAGAGACAUCAUGGGAGAAGUGCAUGGUGGACAAAACUGUUCCUUUCAUGGCAGCUGGGAAGCACAGCUCCAGGGAAGAGUACCAGAGGAGGAAACCGGGGACCAGUUGAAACAGCAGUGGAGAGAUCUAUCGCUUAAAGAUUUGGCAGAAUUCGAGGGAGUCAACCUCAGCCUGCUGCUGGCGCCUGCGAAGAGGAUCUUGGGGACUCAGACGGUCUGUGACAUCGCAGUUGUCCAGCAAGGCGAUUUCGGUGGUGCUGACCUCAGUGGUACUGAGGAUCGAACUUGGGUCCUUGCGCUUGUGAGGCAGGCAGCAGAACCACUGAGCUAAAUCCCCAGCCCUUUUGAAUCUUACAUGGUGCUCAGUAUCUGGUUGGUUUCCUUUGAGUCAGGUGUCCCUGCCUAAGCCAAUCAGCCACAUCUGGGAACAGGGGAAUUGUAAGCCAGCAGAUCACCUCCAAACGGCUCCACCACGAUGAUCAGACAGCCCUUACAUGGCACACAUCAGCUCUUGAUUGACAUUGUAGAAAGCAGGCAGUGCGUUUAUACAAGGCACAGCAGAGCUCACCCCAUCAUGUAGGCAGCAAGCAUGUGCUCUGGACAGAUUGCAUGUCCCCAAGGAGUGCCUGUCCAUCCUGUUUCCUCCAGCCCAGACCCUCUGGAUCUGCUGCUGCCAAACAGGAGUGUCAGGACCUAUGCCUGACUCACCAGCUUCUGAGAGUGUGGGUGUGACCUCUCUCCCUUCUGCUAUCUUCUGCUCCUGCGUUGGCUGGAAGCUUCCACAGACAGGACCAGGCUUACACCUUCUGGUGUCACCAUGGCAGGGGCCACUGCAGGACUCAGAGCAACCGUGGUGAUGGCUGUGGCAUAUCUACUACCCCCACUCCAUCUUUGAGCACUCCUCACUCUUGGACACACAGUCUGUCUUGUUCAUAGCUCCUCUCCCAAUUCUCCAGUUCAGAAAAAAAGGCUCACUAGCCUCCCUCGUGUACCCUCCUCUUCCAACACCCCUGGAUUUUCCUGUUGCCACCCUGGGAACCCUGGCUCAGAGGUUCCCCAAGGGUGCCAUAAGGACUCCCCAGGAAUUCCCAAAUCCGUCACUUGGGAUUUCCUGCUUUACACCCAGUCCGUAAGGUCCAGGGCCACCAGGCCUCCCAGGCAGAGCUGGGAAGAGGACCACUUGUAAUAAUACCAUUAUUCUCUUUAGCGGGGGUGGGGUGGGGGUGGGCAGGCUAAGCCCUCAGUGAAGCCAGCCCACCAUUAGAACCCUGCAGAAACAAAGUAAUAGCCUGCACAGAAAGCCAUUUGUAAUGUUGCUAUAAUUCCCAUGAUUCAUUAAACAGGAAUGGAAAAUGAUAACAUUUCCCCUGGGGGGGGGACUCCUCAUGGAGCUGCACGCUGAGUUCACUUGGCUCAACUAUUUUAUUGACUAAGCAUCUUGUGCUGAUGGGAAGUGCACGCAGGCCCAGCGUCAUUUUGUUGCACACGAGCCGAGACGCAAGCCGGGGAGGAGAGUUGCAGGGCAGGGUUUUACCUUGGAAAUGGAAUUGCUGCCCCCACUUAGGUGGCCCAGACUGGCAUCUUCCGUUGGGGCCGAGGGCCCAUUUGACAAAGAUCUAUUCAGCAUCCUCUCCUAUGGGAAGGGGGCGGCGUGCCAGGAACUGGGUGUCUGUGCCCGAGCCCAGCUUACUGUCAAUUUCAGAAAAACUUCGGAAAAACAACAAAUAACUGUGUAAAACAUCUUUCUGCAAUUCACAUUUAAAUGAGUGCUGUGGUGUGGAUAGGUGUCCACUCAAUGGUCCAUACUUGAAGGGACUGGACCCCAAGGUGGUGCUGUUGGAAGGCCGUAGAAGCUUCAGGAGGCGGGCCUAGUGGGAGGUCCUUAUGUCACUGGGGGCGUGCCCUUGAAGAGACGGUGAGACCCCAGGAACCUCUUCUCCUCCUUUGCUCUCCAAUUUGUGAUGUGCUGUGGGUUUGCUCUGCUGUGUGCUCCUGCCACGAUGUGCUGCCCCAUCAGAGGCCUGAAGUAAUGUGGCGACCGUGCUGCCAAUGAAUCGAGGGUGGUUUUUUUGUUUGAUUCAGAUAGAAAUCAUGAAUCAACAAAAAAUAGCUUGGCCGCGGCCCUGAUUUGAGUGUCAGUAGGCCUCAGCCCUGGCGUUACAGAUGUGGGCCCUGGUGCCGCAAGCUGACAGCAGUUAAUGCUGCACACUGUCUGCUGACACUGCCAUUGCUGGUUUCUGUUGCCCAUCUUCAUUGGCUGCUGGUCUCUGGAGCUCCUCAGGGCUAACAGGUGCACGUUUAUAGCUCUUUUUAAAGCAACUGCUCUCUUCACACUCCUUGGAAAAGAAUCCCAAGUAGAUUUACAAGACCUUCUGAGGCCAUAUCAUCCAAGAAAUAAAGCAUGAAUAGAUUUACAGGAUCACUGGAGCAAGGCUUUAUUUGGACGGGGCCUGCGCAGCAGCAUGGUACGAUCAGCGCACCAGACC